CUACGCAGCGGCAUGUAUGCGGGGAGUAACAUCGUCGACGCAGCACCGGAAACUUGGAGAGCGCUUCGCGACCGCGUCGUACCAUUCAAAAGUGGCGAGGCUGUGACCCAUAACAGUGCCCACAUAACGGAGGAGCCACCAGACCCCUUGGCUAUGCCUGCCGUAGUGCAACGUGUAAUCUGGAUGGUCGGGUCAGGUACACCUAGGAAAUGUUGUAUACAUUGGCAACGAUAACUGGGGCCUGCUCCAGUGCCAUCGCCGGGAUUCCCUGUUCUGCAAAGAACUGGCAUAACUGAUGUGGGGAGCCCUGGCGCUCGGCGUAGGAGCGUCACAGGGGCUCCUUGUCGGUGCUUGAAGGACGGCAAUGCUGUUGAGAAGCCGACAUUGAGCCCCGAUAAAUUGGAAGCUGUGGGUAGUAAGUAUCAUUCACAUUUUUUCAAGUUUUUGUAAUGUUUGUAACAAUGCAUGUAUUGCACCGAAAUGAUUAACUUUUCAGAUGCAUUUGAUGCAUAUCUUUCGAAAUGUGGUGCCCCUGAGGAGAAAAAAUCAUCUUCUCAUGCUUGGUUUUGGCCGAGCGGUUGAAUCGAGUGACAAAGUUUUUCGCGUUUAGGUAGCCCAAGAAGAAACAAAAGCAGAAUUAACAAACCAGCUUAUUUGUGGCUACUCAUGAGUUGCAUUUCUUUGUUUAAAAGUGCCUGCGAAGUGGCGCUAACCUACUUAUCAGGUCCAGAAUUUUCGAUUAACACCGCUUCCAAAAGCUCGCGUUCUAAUUUGGUUUUUCCACGGCCAGAACUUCCGUAUUCGUCAUCCGCGGAUAGCAACGACAACUUUUGCAGUGUAGAGCAAUAUUCAACCCUUCUCCCGAUAUGCAACACCUGUAGCGUAGUUGUAGCCGGUCGUUCAGGCACUGAAUUGCAGUGCAGAUGUAGGCAACAACAGAAGAGUCAAGACGAGAGACAUGCGGCAACUCUUUAACAAAAAGCUUUAUUUUUGCUGGCCCAUGUUUAUAGCCGUCAGUCACUGCAUUGCACAUGCGCAAUUCGCACCCUUAGGAAGAAAGUAAACUCUGUCUGACAAGUGUACAGAAGGUGUGCUGAUACACACAGAGCCAAGUCGCGAAAUCUUUUCAGCCUCAAUUAUUUUACGUGUUAGUUGAUCACCGCUUCUGCUGGAAACAGUACACUGAGCAAAUGACGGUUCACAGUCACACGAACUGCAAUGACAUUCAAGCCUACUGUCACGCACAUUUUUCUUGACAUUGUAUGAGUGUUCUCUCAGCCGGUGAUUGAUACAGUGUCCCAUUUGACCUAUAUACUGUUUACCACAAGGGGGAUACAAUAAACCACGUUGCUAACACAGGUGACAAACGGAAUUUGGUGUUUUGUUGCAUAUGUGUGGCGUGCUGUGACAUUGCCUUUGAUUACACAACUUUAGAAUGAUAUGCAAUUUUCUUGAUAUUGUGAGAGCUUAUGAAUGUAGGGUAUGACGGCCAGUUUUAUGUCUGUCAGAUGCAGUGACCACAUGACCUCUACUCUGAAAAGCGCAUGCACCGAGUGGUUGCCAUGUGAUCACUCCAUCUGACAGACUUAAAGUGGCUGUCAUACCAUACAUUCAUAAGCUGUCUCACAAUAUCGUGAAAACUGCAGAUCGUUCCAAAGUUAAAGUUGUCUUCUUUGCACCUCAGAAGCUUAUAAAGUUGUGUAAUCAAAGGAAAUGUUUCAGCGCAGCACACAAGUGUAACAAAAAGCACAAAAAUCUGUUCGUCACCUAUGUUAGCAACAUGAAUUACUGUACCCCUCUUUCUUGUGGUAAACAGUACAUAGGCCAAACAGGACGCUGUAUCAAUGACCAGCUGAGAGAACACUCUACAAUGUCAAGAAAAACGUGCAUGACAGUUGGCUUGCAUGUUGUUGCAGUUCAUGUGCCUGUGAACCAUUGUUUGCUCGGUGUACUGUUGUCAGCAGUAGCGGUGAUCAACUAACACGUGAAAUUAUUGAAGCUGAAAAGAUUGCGCGACUUGGCUCUGUGUGUGUCAGCAUCUGUACACUUAUCAGACAGAGUUGACCUUCCUAAGGGUGUGAAUUGCGCGUGUGCAAUGUGAUGAGUGACGGCUAUAAACAUGGGUCGCUGAAAAUAAAGCUUUUUGUUGGAAGUCAGCACACGUCUAUUGUCUCGUCUUUUCUGUCGUCAAUAUCUGUGCUGCAAUUGACCAAUAUGUUGUACCAACAAGUCAAAUUUAUCACUCACUCAUUGGAACUUCUUUCAUCACGAAUGAAAUGUGGUUUUGGUACCGUGGUAGAGCAUUCACAUCAUUUGUUAAUUUUUGUUUUCUUCAAAGACUGAACUGGAUGUAACAAGCAGCCGUGGCAUUGCAAGGAAGCUUUAUGUUAAAGGAAUAUAUUGAUACUAACGUCUUAACUGCUUAGCGCAAUAAAGGAAGUUGUGGGUAUUGUUUAUUGUGCUUUCCUUGCUCUUGUGUCCAAACUUAUAGCUAUAAUGGUUAGGUUUUACUGAAAUUUGCUUUUUGAUGUUUUGCAUUAUUCUCCUGUGUAAAGUCACUAUUGUUUGUUUCACAGUUAUGCGAAGCUUAAGUUGUUUGUAAGCAUUUUUAUAGCCUGUUUUCACAGUAAACAUGGCUUACUUCAGUGUUUCAGAUGGCACUUUAUAGUUUGAUGUAAUUGAUGUCUCUGCAGGUUACCGCAUUAUUGACUUGGAAACCAGUGAGGUCUGGAUGCAAGUGAAGCUACCGAGGGAGGCAUGUGUGCAUCACUUGUGCUGCUGGCCAUCCUCUGCAAAAGUGAUGGCUGGCUGUCAGUGCUUGGAUGACUUUCUGUUACUCUACGCCUUGGGCUGUGUUGACUACUUCAUACUUGCUGCCAUGUCUGCAAGCUUAGGCAAAAAGACCGGCUGGAUGCUUGGCAGGAGAUAGUAUCCAACCGCAGUGUUACUGUGUUGUGUUGUACAUUACAAAGUGAAGGAGAACAGUAUUUGUGCUGUUAUUAAGAAGUAUAAAUUGUGUUCUGCCAUUGAAAUAAGGG